rnacentral:lncRNA from 1 species
AUAGUAUAGAUGCUGGAUAUAUGAAGAUAAAGCAACAGAAUAGACCUCUGCCUGGAGGAGCAGUGCUCCUCCACAUACAUCCUGGGGCCUCCUUUCCUGCAAUGCAUAGUACAUUCCAGAUGAAUGGAGAGGACUCCAGACCGAGAGGCCAAGUGUACUGGAUGCACGGAGCCUGGAUUUCUGAACAACUGCAUGGCAAGCACUUCCUGAAGGUGCACCUAACAAGGAAUACUGUGGUGUCAAGAAUGUGGACGCUUGAAUUCAAUCUAUCUACUGAAGAUUAUCUGUUUGCCAGCAGCCCCACCUUGCACCACUUUUAGAAUCAGUGAACUCUCUGGGGGAUAUUUUUUUAAAAAUUAACUGAUGUAUUUAAUUAGAGAAACAGAAUAAAGAUAUUUUUCAAAAAUAAUGCAUACAAUUACUCAAAAUUCUAGACAUGACAUUUGUGCUGUUGAUUUGCUGAACAGCACAGUUGAUAAUCAGAAAAUUUGGACCCCCUCGCUGUCGACUUAGAACAAUGUCGUUUCUUAGGGUGACAGCAGAAUGGA